UUACUAAUCCCUCCGUCCCAAAAUGAGUGUCUUGGAUUUGUCCAAAAAUGGAUGUAUCUAGACACGAACAAGUCUAGAUACAUCCACUUUUUGGCAAAUCUGAGACACUUAUUUUGGAACGGAGGGAGUAUUAC
rfam:Triticum aestivum genome assembly, contig: Triticum_aestivum_CS42_TGACv1_scaffold_361480_4DS